AUUUCCAUUGUUGCUGGAGUGUGCGUGAGUGUCUGAAAGAAAAUGCUCCAAUAUGGCUCAGAAAGGCACUGAGAAAACCUAGCCUUAGCUAGGCUAAGAGCCUAGCUUCUGGCCUGGCUUUUACGUGGUCAGCGGAUGUGCGUCCAUCCCCCUGCACUGGUUCCCCUUGUCCUUUCUGUGGCUCUCCUGGAUUCCUCUCGUUCAGCUCCUUGGUGUACAGAGCCUAUGUCAAUGGCAAUGGUGAGGGAAAUUGCCAGAGCCCUGCCCUCCAGGCCUGUCCUUAUUCAUGGGGAUCUGAGAAGAAGAGAUUAGGACCCAGACAUGCACAGAGGAGACCCUGUAAGGACACAAAGAGAAGACAGCCAUCUGCAAGCCAAGAAGAAAGGCCUUGGGGGAAACCAGCCCUGCCCACACCUUGGUCUGGACUUCCAGCUGAUUCUUGGAUGAGCUGGUCCUUAGGCACGGAGGCAGGACUGUGAGAAAAUAAAUUUCUGUUUUUAAUUCA
rnacentral:lncRNA from 1 species